GCACAAGCGGUGGAGUAUGUGGUUUAAUUCGACGCAACGCGCAGAACCUUACCUAGGCUUGACAUCCCGGGAAUUUGCCGGAAACAGUGAAGUGCUUUCAUUAGAAAGAGCCCGGUGACAGGUGCUGCAUGGUUGUCGUCAGCUCGUGUCGUGAGAUGUUGGGUUAAGUCCCGCAACGAGCGCAACCCCUACUUUUAGUUGCCAGCAAUAAGAUGGGCACUCUAAAGGAACUGCCGGUGACAAACCGGAGGAAGGUGGGGAUGACGUCAAAUCAUCAUGCCCUUUAUGUUCUGGGCUACACACGUGCUACAAUGGCCGGUACAGAGGGCGGCGAAGGAGUGAUCCGGAGCGAAUCCCAAAAAGCCGGUCUCAGUUCGGAUUGCAGGUUGCAACUCGCCUGCAUGAAGUCGGAAUCGCUAGUAAUCGCGAGUCAGCAUAUCGCGGUGAAUACGUUCCCGGGUCUU
rnacentral:rRNA from 1 species